AUUGAACGCUGGCGGCAUGCUUUACACAUGCAAGUCGAACGGCAGCGCGGGCUUCGGCCUGGCGGCGAGUGGCGAACGGGUGAGUAAUGCAUCGGAACGUGCCCAGUAGUGGGGGAUAGCCCGGCGAAAGCCGGAUUAAUACCGCAUACGACCUGAGGGUGAAAGCGGGGGACCGAAAGGCCUCGCGCUAUUGGAGCGGCCGAUGUCGGAUUAGCUAGUUUGUGGGGUAAAGGCUUACCAAGGCGACGAUCCGUAGCUGGUCUGAGAGGACGACCAGCCACACUGGGACUGAGACACGGCCCAGACUCCUACGGGAGGCAGCAGUGGGGAAUUUUGGACAAUGGGGGCAACCCUGAUCCAGCCAUGCCGAGUGCGGGAAGAAGGCCUUCGGGUUGUAAACCGCUUUUGUUCGGGAAGAAAUCCUCUGGGCUAAUACCCCGGGGGGAUGACGGUACCGGAAGAAUAAGCACCGGCUAACUACGUG
rnacentral:rRNA from 1 species